GCUGGCGGAUGGAAAGCAACGGAAUGGAGAUCGAUCCGCUGAUGCGGAUUCCCUGGCAGCUGUGAUAUGUCCUGCCCGUCCUGCUGAUUUCGCUCGAUGGAAGGCGGCAACAGGUUUGUCACGCCUACAACCAGCACUCCAACUGGGAUGGCCAUGGCCGCAUCACCACUCAUCGCGUGGAACACGGAAGAGAAGGCUUGUAGUGAUAUCGGGUCACCAGGGGAUGCUACAGCGAAGUUAACCCAUACGCUUUUGUCGAGAUUAAAAUAGCAAGAAGCAAAGAGAGGUCGGGAACGCUGCAGAGGAGUGGAAUGAAGGAGCAAUUGCAGAUCUUGCAUGCUGGAGCUGGAAGGAGAAAAUAAAUCGGGGCACCUCUGUCGGUGCCACUA